GUAGGUGGCAAGCGUUGUCCGGAAUUAUUGGGCGUAAAGCGCGCGCAGGCGGUUCUUUAAGUCUGAUGUGAAAGCCCACGGGCUCAACCGUGGAGGGUCAUUGGAAACUGGAGAACUUGAGUACAGAAGAGGAAAGCGGAAUUCCAGGUGUAGCGGUGAAAUGCGUAGAGAUGUGGAGGAACACCAGUGGCGAAGGCGGCUUUCUGGUCUGUAACUGACGCUGAGGCGCGAAAGCGUGGGGAGCAAACAGGAUUAGAUACCCUGGUAGUCCACGCCGUAAACGAUGAGUGCUAAGUGUUAGGGGGUUUCCGCCCCUUAGUGCUGCAGCUAACGCAUUAAGCACUCCGCCUGGGGAGUACGGCCGCAAGGCUG
rnacentral:rRNA from 1 species